rnacentral:lncRNA from 1 species
GCCCCAGAAUUGGUACGCAUGGGUAAAGCAUCCCCACUUACAGAUGUGUUUGCCUUUGGCACAUUCCUUCUUGAAGUGACAUGUGGGCAUAGGCCUGUAAAGCAAAAUGAGCUAGGUGAGCAUAUUAUGUUGGUUGAUUGGGUACUUGACCAUUGGCAGAAAGGAUCAUUGGUGGAGACAAUAGACAAGAGGCUAGAAGGUAACUGCAACAUAGAUGAGGCGUGCCUGGUUUUAAAACUUGGGCUCUUGUGCUCACAACCAUUCGCUAGUGCAAGGCCUAGUAUGCAUCUUGUAAUUCAAUACCUUAAUGGUGGCAUGCAGUUGCCAGAGUUCACACCAUCAGAUAUAAGCAUCAACAUGCUAGCCUUUAUGGAAAAUAGGGGAUUCAAUCCUUCCUUGAUUUCAUACCCACAGCUGACAAUGAGUGUUGGCACAAUGUCAAGCCUCUCAGGUGGAAGGUAAAAAUGAUUUGAGGUCAUUAAUCAGAGCAAUAGCAGGUUUCUUUUGUAUAUUACACGGGGUGAUAUCUAUUAUUGCAUAUUUCAGAAUUAAAAUUUUUAGGGUGUAUUUGAUUUGAGCAACCACCUCAUGCUACAUGACCUGUUGCAUCAUGAAUUCAUUACAGGGGUGUUUGGUUUGAAGAAUGAGUUAGUCUAUCAUCUAUUCAUUUCUCACUUUUUUGUUUGGUUUAUGGUACAGUGUUUUCAAGUCGUCUGACUAUUUGUGAUUAGUCAGUCUAAUCGGUACUCGGUAGGUAUCAACCGACCAGCCCCACCGAUGCGACUAGGCCGACCAAAAUAUUAGUAUUAGACAUGGGAUGACCAGUUUAGAGUUUAAACAUGACUGUAGAUGGGCUUUUGAAGCAGGGGAACUUGUAGGCUGCAAUUUGCUUUGUGGGCAUCUAGGGUUGAGAACGCUCAGGCAAGAACUCCAGUCCCAAUCUGCACAGGCGCACAGCCGCCCUCCAGCCUAUAGUCAGCACAGCAGCCCUCCAGUCGGUAGCUAUACGAUUAGGUUCAACUAGACGACUUGAAAACAUUGUUAUAAUGUUAUGUAUAAUAUGAUGAUGCACCAUCACCUCAAGUCAAUAAUUAAUACUAGUACAAGGAAUGAAGUCAUUCCAUCAUAAUUGAGGAAUUAACUCAUGAUGCACCUCAUAUAGGACCAUGCAUAUAUUAGUUAUUAGCUUCGAAGGAAUAAGGUGGUGAUGGAUCAACUCAUUCCAUCUUACAAACCAAACAAAAAAGUGAGGCGUGAGAAAAUGACAUACCACAGCAUUCCUUAAUCAAACACACCACAUGCUGCACUUGCAUAGCAGCGUGUGAUUAUGUAUCUAGAUGCUAUAUUCACUUAUUCAGUAUUCAAAUGGUCGAACCAAAGUACGCACACGGGGAACUGCUACCAUUAUCUUGUAAUAAAAUUAUGAUCAAACUAUAUCUUUUUAUUUGGUCAAUUUCCUUUACAAUACUGACUUAGACGCCCUAGUGCCUAAACCACACACGCAUCCAUAAGGUUCAGCAAUCACACGCAGAACCUCAACCAACUUGGGUACGGUUGUCUGAAAUCAGAAAGAUUGCAUCUUGAAAGAAACGGAAGCGUACCAAUUGUGGUUGAGCAGAGGACAUCAGGUAAGCAUCAUCGCUUCCUGGCUACCAACGAAAGCGUGCCCAUUGGCCAUCACGUGCACCACCGGCAGGACUACUGGUAGGCCGACGGCCGCCGCGCAAACUGCACCCUUGUUUAGAGACGCCGAGCCGCCGAGGGUGAGCCGCCGCAGGAGCAGAGAACGCGGCGGGCGGAAUGGGCGGAUCAGGGGCGGAGCCAGGAUUAC